ACACAAAGAGAGCUGAGCCCAGGAACAUGCGGCGAUUAGGUAAAAAAUAGGAGCAAGUGUUCUAACAACAAAAAAAAGGCGAUAUUGAAGCAGUAUCCUUCGCAGUUAACGGAGUAGGUGAUAACAAGUGAUUUAAUACUGUAUUAAUUAGGAUUCCAUAAUCAAAUUUGUAAGCCCUAUCAGCGUAUUCGAAGGGCAACAGCCAGAAGCACUUCAAGAAGAAGGCGCAGAAAAAACCUCUUACCUGGGGGAAGGUGAGGAUGGCGUCAAGUCCUCAUGCCCCUUAUGGCUGGGGCUUCACACGUCCUCCAAUGGUCGGUCAGAGAGUCUCCCACCCGCGAGGGGGAGCCAAUCCCAAGAAACGCUAUCGUAGUCCGGAUCGCAGUUUGCAACUCGCCUCCAUGAACUCGGAAUCGCUAGUAAUCGCGGAUCACCAUGCCGCGGUGAAUACGUUCCCGGGCCUUGUGCACACCGCCCGGCGCGCCACGGAAGUAAUUAUGGCCCAAACACGGGGGAGUGACGUUAGGACCCGCGCCUCCCCACAUAGGAAGAUCUCGGUGSANUYYAVASYAGUVDA
rnacentral:rRNA from 1 species